rfam:Neotoma lepida isolate 417 scaffold_41221, whole genome shotgun sequence.
UCAUCAGUCAGGCUCCUGGCUAGAGUCCAGCUCUCAGCUGGUUUUAGCCAAAGCCUGACUAUAAG